rnacentral:sRNA from 1 species
GCCGGGCGUGAUGGCGGUCACCUGUAAUCCCAGCUACUAGGGAGGCUGAGGGAGGGGAAUUGCUAGGCCCCGGGAGGUAGAGGUUGCAGUGAGCCAAGAAUGUGCCACUGCACUCCAGCCUGGGUGACAGAGAGACACUCCAUCUCAAUCAAUCAAUCAAUCAAUCAAUAUUAAAAAAAAAAAAAAAGACUGGCUGGAUUAUAAAUUUCUUUCUUUUUUCUUUUUUUUUUUUUUGAGACAGAGUCUCCUCGCUCUGUCGCCAGGCUGGAGUGCAAUAGUGCGAUCUUGGCUCACUGCAACCUCUACCUCCUGGGUUCAAGCGAUUCCCCGCCUCA